rnacentral:tRNA from 7 species
GGGCACGUGGCGGAACUGGCAUACGCGUACGCUUCAGGAGCGUAUGGGAGCAAUCCCGUGGAGGUUCAAGUCCUCUCGUGCCCACCA